AGAGUUUGAUCCUGGCUCAGAACGAACGCUGGCGGCGUGCUUAACACAUGCAAGUCGAACGCGAAAGUUUUCUUCGGAAGACGAGUAGAGUGGCGCACGGGUGAGUAACGCGUAAGUUAUCUACCUCGGCAUCUGGAAUAACUCACCGAAAGGUGUGCUAAUACCGGAUGAAGUUANNNNNNNNNNNNNNNNNNNNNNNNAAAAGGUGGCCUCUGAAUAUGCUUCUGUCAUCAGAUGAGUCUGCGUACCAUUAGCUAGUAGGUGGGGUAAUGGCCUACCUAGGCUACGAUGGUUAGCGGGUCUGAGAGGAUGAUCCGCCACACUGGAACUGAAACACGGACCAGACUCCUACGGGAGGCAGCAGUGAGGAAUAUUGCGCAAUGGGGGCAACCCUGACGCAGCGACGCCGCGUGGAUGAUGAAGGCCUUCGGGUCGUAAAAUCCUGUCAAGUGGAAAGAAACGUCAUCGAGCUAAUACCUGCCACAAAUGACGGUACCACUAAAGGAAGCACCGGCUAACUCCGUGCCAGCAGCCGCGGUAAUACGGAGGGUGCAAGCGUUGUUCGGAAUUACUGGGCGUAAAGGGCGCGUAGGCGGCGCUGUAAGUCAGAUGUGAAAGUCCACGGCUUAACCGUGGAAGUGCAUCUGAUACUGCAGCGCUUGAGUAUCGGAGGGGAAAGUAGAAUUCCCGGUGUAGAGGUGAAAUUCGUAGAUAUCGGGAGGAAUACCGGUGGCGAAGGCGACUUUCUGGACGAAUACUGACGCUGAUGCGCGAAAGCGUGGGGAGCAAACAGGAUUAGAUACCCUGGUAGUCCACAGCUGUAAACGAUGUACACUAGAUGUAGGGGGUGUUGACCCCUCCUGUGUCGCAGCUAACGCAUUAAGUGUACCGCCUGGGGAGUACGGUCGCAAGAUUAAAACUCAAAGGAAUUGACGGGGGCCCGCACAAGCGGUGGAGUAUGUGGUUUAAUUCGACGCAACGCGAAGAACCUUACCUGGUCUUGACAUCCCGGGAAUCUUUUGGAAAAACGAGAGAGUGCCUCGUAAGAGGAGCCCGGUGACAGGUGGUGCAUGGUUGUCGUCAGCUCGUGUCGUGAGAUGUUGGGUUAAGUCCCGCAACGAGCGCAACCCCUACAGCUAGUUGCCAGCACAUAGGUGGGAACUCUAGCAGAACUGCCGUUGACAAAACGGAGGAAGGUGGGGAUGACGUCAAAUCAUCAUGCCCCUUAUGUCUUGGGCUACACACGUACUACAAUGGCCUGAACAGAGGGAAGCGAAACUGCGAAGUUAAGCGAACCCCUUAAAACAGGUCCCAGUUCGGAUUGUAGGCUGCAACUCGCCUACAUGAAGUUGGAAUCGCUAGUAAUCGCAGGUCAGCAUACUGCGGUGAAUACGUUCCCGGGCCUUGUACACACCGCCCGUCACACCACGGGAGUUGGUUGUACCAGAAGCAGUUGAGCCAACCGUUUACGGAGGCAGGCUGCCAAGGUAUGGCGAGUAACUGGGGUGAAGUCGUAACAAGGUAACC
rnacentral:rRNA from 1 species